UUUGAAAAUAAUUUAAAGUAGGGCCUGCCCACUGAGUAAUUGAAGGGCCGCAGUAUUUUGACUGUGCAAAGGUAGCAUAAUCAUUAGUUUUUUAAUUGAAAGCUUGUAUGAAUGGUUUGAUGAAAAAAUAGCUUUCUAUAAUUAAUUUAUUAAGAAUUUUAUUUUUAAGUAAAAAAGCUUAAAUUUUUUUAAUAGACGAGAAGACCCUAUAGAGUUUAAUUUUUAAAUAAAAUUUAAUUUUAGGGAUUUUAUAAUUAAUAUUUAAAUAAAAAUUUGAUUGGGGUGAUUGAAAAAUUAAAGAAACUUUUUUUAUAUUUUUACAUAAAUUUAUGAAUUUUUGAUCCAUAUCAAUGAUUAAUAGAAUAAAUUACCUUAGGGAUAACAGCGUUAUUUUUUUUUAGAGUUCAAAUCGAAAAAAGAGAUUGCGACCUCGAUGUUGGAUUAAAGUUUAUUUUAGGUGUAGAAGCUUAAAUAUUUGGUCUGUUCGACCAUUAAAACUUUACA
rnacentral:rRNA from 1 species